UACGUAGGGUCCGAGCGUUGUCCGGAAUUAUUGGGCGUAAAGGGCUCGUAGGCGGUUUGUCGCGUCGGGAGUGAAAACACGGGGCUUAACCCCGUGCCUGCUUCCGAUACGGGCAGACUAGAGGUAUGCAGGGGAGAACGGAAUUCCUGGUGUAGCGGUGAAAUGCGCAGAUAUCAGGAGGAAUACCGGUGGCGAAGGCGGCAUCCUGGACCGACAUUGACGCUGAGGAGCGAAAGCUAGGGGAGCAAACGGG
rnacentral:rRNA from 1 species